rnacentral:rRNA from 1 species
CCCUUAGAUGUUCAGGGCCGCACGCGCGCUACACUGAUGAACGCAACGAGACCACCUGUACCGAAAGGCAUGGGUAAACUUGUGAAAGUUCAUCGUGAUGGGGAUAGAUUAUUGCAAUUAUUAAUCUUCAACGAGGAAUUCCUAGUAAGCGCGAGUCAUCAGCUCGCGUUGAUUACGUCCCUGCCCUUUGUACACACCGCCCGUCGCUCCUACCGAUUGAAUGGUCCGGUGAAAUCUUCGGAUUGCUGGAUAGGACUUCAUUGACCUAUCUGCGAGAAGUUGCUUGAACCUUAUCAUUUAGAGGAAGGAGAAGUCGUAACA